GGGCGCAUAGCUCAGCUGGGAGAGCGCCAGCUCGACAAGCUGGAGGUCACAGGUUCGAGCCCUGUUGCGCCCA
rnacentral:tRNA from 1 species